rnacentral:lncRNA from 1 species
AGACUGGUAUCACUGGGGACUACGACUCUGGGAGCAAAGAAGGGAGCAAGACACAGCUGAGAGGAGGUGAGGAGGCCUGGACAUGGAAAGACCUGCACGUGGGAGAGGGAGGCCUGCAGGAGACAGCGUGUCGGAUGCAGGAAAGCAGGCAGGAAAGAGAGUCAUCACCAAGCUGAGGAGCCACCGUCCACCCUCCCGAUUCUCCCUUUUCCUUGGGAUGGCGCUGAGAGGGGCCAGGAAACCAACGAAGGAGCGACCGAGUUACAAACUGUACCUCUCAGCUGUGCUGGUCACUGACGCUGGAGGAACAGCACCCAGAGCAGGAAGUUUGCCAGUCACUCUGUGGCCCUCACUCUCUUGUAGGAGAGCAACUGCACACCCCCAGCCAUCGUCUGGCUCUGCCAGCGGCCCAAGGCCCGCACUGGGCAUGGAUGGAGAGGGUGGGCAGGAGCAGGAGGAGGAGGAACCUGCUGCAGGUUCUGUCCAUUCUUGAUCCGUUGAGCUCUGCUCACUCAGGCCUGGCAUCCUGGGCAUCUCUGUCACCUGAUCUCUUCAGCAGCCCUGGCAACUCCAGGUGCUCUUCCGGCUCACCAGAGUACCCCAGAAGAGGGAAGUGGUUAUUUCGCACAUUGCAAAUGGCCUAUGAAGUAGCCUUUCUCCCGGGAGCUAAUGCUACAUCUUUCCCUAAAAAGCUAAAACACAGACACAGUUAUCUAAAUCUGAAGGGCCUUUCUGCAAAUGGGAGGAGAUGGGGGAGAAAGGACGAUGGGGACAAGAAAAAAAAGUGAAAAUAGAUGGAAAAAAUGGAACCAAAACUUUUGUACAUAGGGAGAGGAGGGGUGAAUGGAAUAAAAUAAAAUUUAUUUGAAAAUACUGACAAUCAAAAAUAAAUAAAUAAAGAGCCUUUCUGAGGCCUAAGCAAGAGGCCUUGACAAUUUGCAACUUUAAUGGACAACUUUAGUUACACGAGGUGUUCCUGGAAGAUUCACAAGGGACAGGAUGUCCUGGGAAAUGCGUUUCUAAGAGAUCUUCACUCGCCAACUCAGCCCCUUUCCCACAUCUCCCUUCCCUUACAGAAGCCCCAGUCUCACCGGAUCACAUGAUUCCUUGGUCAGAACGUUGCCCUGUGCCCCCGUUGACAGUGAUUCAGUGAUCUAAAUAAACUCUUUCCUGGCUGGGGAUGUAGCUCAGCUGCACUACACCUGCCUGGCAAGCGCAAGGUGCUGAGUUUAAUCCCUGGUACCGGAAAAAGUAAAAAACAAAAAUAACCCUCUUUGCUAUAUAUUCCUCGAUAAACUCUUCGACUGCUCACAUCCCUGGCCCGCUGCGCAUCAUCUGCCGUGGCAAUCAGGUGAACACAAACGCUCUGACAAGCUUUCCUCAAGCAGAAGCAAGGAAUUAAAAAUAUCCAGAAUUUCGGGCUGUGGUCAUACAAGCCUGAGACACCACCGCUUGUGAAGAAAACCGCCCCCCUCCCUAGGUGGCUUCCCCCCAAUUCUCCUGAGAGCCAUGAGGGGGCGCAGCUGGGUCGUGUUUGCUUGUGUGAGGACUGGUGCUGCGAACUAGAUGUGAUUUGUGUCAGGAAGAGAAGGGGGUGUCACUCUAGAAUAAGCUUUGUUGAAUAUUGAGUUAAAGAAGUUUUGUUUCUCAGGGUUGUACUGAGCCCUGCAGGCUGUUUAGGAGCGUCCUUUGCCUCUCCCACCAGAUGCUGGCCAUCAGUGGGCCGGUGAAAACGUACCUAUUGUAACUAUCCCCCCGCCACCGCAGUGGUAGAGAACGACC